rnacentral:rRNA from 1 species
AUAUCAAUAAGCGGAGGAAAAGAAACCAACAGGGAUUGCCUCAGUAACGGCGAGUGAAGCGGCAACAGCUCAAAUUUGAAAUCGGGCAACCGAGUUGUAAUUUGGAGAGGACGCUUCUGGCAAGGCCGCACCCAAGUCCCGUUGAAUAGGGCACCAGUGAGGGUAAAAGUCCCAUGCGGUGUAGGCUGCGCUGAUGUGAAGCUCUUUCAAAGAGUCGAGUAGUUUGGGAAUGCUGCUCUAAAUGGGAGGUAAAUUUCUCCUAAAGCUAAAUACUGGCCAGAGACCGAUAGCGCACAAGUA